GUGGAACUCGCGACGUAUUAUGCAGCUUGCAUGUUCAACGAAGGGUAUGAUCCAAUAUUGAAAAUCCUGAAGACAAUGAGGGUCACCAUAGGGUCGGUUCCGCAGAAAAUGAACAAUUUGAGGAAGCAGAAGAAAUAUCGUAUGGACCUGGCAUCGCCGAUUGAUCGUAAAUCAAAUUUGCGGCCGUAAUCAUGGCCACUAUAAGGGACCUUUUUUUUCACUGGACUUUUCUAUGUAUUAAGAUAAUAAACAAUAAAUAAAUCCACUUAAAAAAAAACAUUUUGUAUUCUUCAUCAGUGUCUUGAUUUGUAAAAAAAAAAUCAGACUGAUUAGCUUAUCCUGAUCAUUAAAAAAAAUCACGAAAAUCUGUUAUUUUUCGGGCGAUCACACCGUCAUGAUCCCUUAAACCAGCGUUUUCCAAACUGGGAGGCGCGGACUAGUUUAAAGGGAGCCGCGAAAAUUAGACACAGUGAACAAUUUUCCAAAUUACUGCUAAAGUUUUCUAUGUAAAAAAUGAGAGAAUAAAUGAAAAAAUACCAUCGUGCUUUAUCGCGCAUAAUUCAACUAAACAUUUCGUAAUUUAACAUCCAUAUACCUAGACGUCCUAGACCCCGGCAAAUCUUUUGAACCGAGGCAGUCGUUAAUUUGGCGACACAAGCGCUAAUGUCGCUUCAAACAAAAGCCAGAUGCGCAUCCAGAAAAGAUCGACGCACAUUUAGCUCACCAACUUGUUUCGUGUCACAGCUAAUAUUUAAUUGGUUCAGCAGUGUUAGGUUAUGUUUCUAUUGUUAUUGACGUGAUUGCCCACUGAUCAUAAUAGUAAGUAAUUUAAUAGUUUUAUUUUUUUAGAAUAAUAUAAUAUUAUUCCUAAUAUUUCCAGACAAAUGGAUAAGUUUUUGAUAGGAUAUAAGCGAAAAUCCACAAAUAAUGGAGAUUCUGAUGUUGACACAAACAAGGAAAUACGACUUAUCCUAUUUAUCGUUCGGAUUUACUAAUAUUAUUAACAAUAAUGUGGAAAAACCAAUGUGUUUGUUGUGUUCAAAAGUUUUGGCUGCUGAUAGUAUGAGACCUGACAAAUUGAAACGGCACCUUGAAACUAUUCAUUCUAAAUACGUUGGUAAGCCCCAAGAAUUUUUUCAAAGAAAAUUGGAUAAGUUAUCUAAAACCAAGCAACAUUUUAAAAAAAAUUGUUCAUGUUCCAUCAAAUGC